rnacentral:rRNA from 1 species
CCUGCGUGAAGUUGGAAUCGCUAGUAAUCGCGGAUCAGCAUGCCGCGGUGAAUACGUUCCCGGGCCUUGUACACACCGCCCGUCACACCAUGAGAGUCGGGAACACCCGAAGUCCGUAGCCUAACCGCGAAGGGGGGCGCGGCCGAAGGUGGGUUCGAUAAUUGGGGUGAAGUCGUAACAAGGUAGC